GACGAACGCUGGCGGCGUGCUUAACACAUGCAAGUCGAACGGAAAGGCCCUGCUUUUGUGGGGUGCUCGAGUGGCGAACGGGUGAGUAACACGUGAGUAACCUGCCCUUGACUUUGGGAUAACUUCAGGAAACUGGGGCUAAUACCGGAUAGGAGCUCCUGCUGCAUGGUGGGGGUGGGAAAGUUUCGGCGGUUGGGGAUGGACUCGCGGCUUAUCAGCUUGUUGGUGGGGUAGUGGCUUACCAAGGCUUUGACGGGUAGCCGGCCUGAGAGGGUGACCGGCCACAUUGGGACUGAGAUACGGCCCAGACUCCUACGGGAGGCAGCAGUGGGGAAUAUUGCACAAUGGGCGGAAGCCUGAGGCAGCAACGCCGCGUGCGGGAUGACGGCCUUCGGGUUGUAAACCGCUUUCGCCUGUGACGAAGCGUGAGUGACGGUAAUGGGUAAAGAAGCACCGGCUAACUACGUG
rnacentral:rRNA from 1 species